rnacentral:rRNA from 1 species
UGCCCUACGGGAGGCAGCAGUGGGGAAUAUUGCACAAUGGGGGAAACCCUGAUGCAGCGACGCCGCGUGAAGGAAGAAGUAUUUCGGUAUGUAAACUUCUAUCAGCAGGGAAGAAAAUGACGGUACCUGACUAAGAAGCCCCGGCUAACUACGUGCCAGCAGCCGCGGUAAUACGUAGGGGGCAAGCGUUAUCCGGAUUUACUGGGUGUAAAGGGAGCGUAGACGGCAGCGCAAGUCUGGAGUGAAAUGCGGGGGCCCAACCCCGGAA